rnacentral:miRNA from 1 species
CAGCAGACACAUUCCAGCCAAUCAGCAGCAGACCCUCCCUCACAGACCCUCCCACCUCCUGGACAGCUCAUUAAGAAUGCAGCUUCACAAUGAAUGUAAAAUGGAUGCUGUCCAGGAGGUGGGAGAGUCUGGGAGGGAGGGUCUGCUGCUGAUUGGCUGGAAUGUGUCUGCU